CGAAUAUGAAGUGAAAUUAAUUACGCAUGUUAGGUGGCAGAACAAUUUAGAAACAAUUCUAAAAGACGCAUUUAGAGAUAUAUUAUUUAGCUAUUUGAAGCCGGUUUUAAUCAUUAAGUAAUAUAGUAAGUAAUAGUAAGUGCAACAGUCCAAUGAGAAUUAGGACCUAGAACUAUACAACUCUGAAAGCACUACUACCAUAGAUAAUACAUUUAUACAGAUGUCUCAUCCCUGCAGGAAAAAAUGAAAAAAUUUUGUCUCUUCACAGACAAGAAGCUUUUAAAAAUAAAGGCGUGAAAGCUUUUUUUGCCUUGCAUAUUUUUUUCUUUUUAGAAACUUUUCUUUUGUCAUUUUAUUUGCGAAUGAAUACAAAAACAAAACAAAGUUUGGUCCGGUGCAAACAAAAGUAAACACCCCUAUUUUUUACAAGGAAGCAUAUGCAAGUUGGAGUAGGUUUAAACAUUUUUAAAUUUAUUAUCUAUGCUACUACUAUUAUUUUUUAUCAUUAUCUGCUAAUGUGUUUAAUUUACGCUCAAACUCAUAGAGGAAAUAUAUUAUCUAGAAUCCCGACCGGUACCCGUCCUACCUGAAACACCAUCAAAUUUUAUUCGAGGUGAACUCUCUUAAAUUUUAGGUAAACUCUCUCAAAUUCGCUAUCGGUGAAUACAUGUGAGUGGAGAAAAAAAAGCAAAAUGGGGGAUUGGGCUAAAAAGAAACUUGUGGAAUUUUUGUGACCUGUCAAAAAUGACAAUCAAUUUUUGCAAAACAAAACAAUGGGUUUCGGAUUUUAAGAACCAAAAUUCUUUAUAAUGAAGAGGGUAUAAGCAAGUUCACUUCAUUGAAUAAGAAUCAGUCUUUUCAUUUUAGAUAGUGCCAAUAAUAUACGCUCAUGCAGGAAGCAAUUUCCCUAAGAAAUCUGGAAGAUCAAGCACACAAAGCGCUGAUUUGCAGAUACCCAUUGUGUUUGUAUAUACUUCUCAACGGCCAUAGCUGCCGCAGGCGUUGACGGUGGAGGUGUCACAAUCUCUACCAAUAGUCAAACGCAUUCAAUGCAACAAAACCAUCAGCAACAACACCACCAAGUCAAUGAUGCAAGUGGAAGUUUUGCCAUUCAAUAGUCGACCGCUAACGCCUUUCUCCCAGCAGCUGAGUGUUGGUGUUGAAACGAAAUAACAGCAGCAACUGGCAACUCAGAAUAUUCAUCAGCUGCCAAGAAGUAAAAUGCGAGUCGCUCAAAAAAAACGACGAUGUGUGUGUAGGAAUCAAAACAUUCAUAUCGUGGUCAACUCGCUUAAUCUUCAUCUUCUAGGUGUAAAGAGUACUACCAGUCGGAAGUUCUACAAGAAAAGCAGUAAACAUGAAUACAAUCGAAGGAAGACUCCAAAAUCAACGUGACUAUUUAGCGGAAUUCGACGAAGGAGUUCAAGUUUAACGAAAGGAACUAAAAAAGUCCAAUAAAGUAACAAUCAAAUUGAACUUCACACCAGAAGAAGGACUGAAACCAGGCGAUGAUGUUACCCUUAGUUUCUUGAUGAAAUAUACUUUUGUGAAUACGUACAAACGCCCAAAAAGAAAAAAAACGUCAAAAACACGCAUUAUCAUCAAAAGUUUUUGUAAACGUUGGUCAAAUUGAAGCCUAGAUUUAUUUCUAUGUAUAUCUAGAAAAUAAUCUUGUUUUCCAAACAACUUGUUUUUUUAUUUUGAGCUAUAGUAUAAUUUUGUAUAUAUUGCAUAUUCUACUGUUUCUUUGAUGACUAGGAUUAUUUUUAUUCAAAAUUAUUUAUGAUUUACUUUACUUUAAUAAUAAAGAAAUUUGUUUUGAAUUCAAAGAUGUUGGUGCUUUUUGCUUCAGGGGUUGAAUUCGGUUGAAUCAAGUGAAUUUUGAAGAAUAUACAAAUGGUUAUGUACAAAUCGAUCGGAUUAGCCAAUAUAAAACAUCCCAUUUUCGGUUGUUUGGGGGCAGUACAACUCGAACCUUGAACAAAAUGGGACCUACAUAACUAAAAUGUUCGUUGGAAUUUUUACCCGCGCAUUUAAACGAUAUAAAUUUUAAUGUGGUAAUACUCUAAACAAAUUGUUUUUAUUCAUAUACUGAACCUUGCCAACGAAAAGGAGACAUACAUUUUGAACUGAUCGAUUCCAAAUUGAUAUGUAUGCUUUAUUGAAGCCACACUAUAAUAUUUAACUUACUCCUUAGCCCGAAGUUAAGCUAUUAUGCUAUUAUGUACAUAUUUCUUCUUAGCUACGUGUUCUCAAAAUAAGAAAUACCCAUUUUGAACAUUAUUUUUUCCAAUAUAUUACAAGUUAUAAUCUUAAGACUACAAAUUGGUAACAGCAAAUAGUAAACAUUUGUAAACGGAAUAUUAAAGGAAAAUAUUGUAGAUCUGGAAUACCAUUACAUUUUUUUUUAAACAACUUUAUGAAUUUAGAGAGCCACGAAAAGCCUUAUAUGUAUAUGAGUACCUUCUAUUUAAAAAAAAUAAU